rnacentral:rRNA from 1 species
ACGAAGGGGGCUAACGUUGUUCGGAUUUACUGGGCGUAAAGCGUACGUAGGCGGAUUAGAAAGUAAGGGGUGAAAUCCCGAGGCUCAACCUCGGAACUGCCUCUUAAACUUCUAGUCUAGAGAUCGGGAGAGGUGUAUGGAACUCCUAGUGUAGAGGUGGAAUUCGUAGAUAUUAGGAAGAACACCAGUGGCGAAGGCGAUACACUGGCCCGAUACUGACGCUGAGGUACGAAAGCGUGGGGAGCAAACAGG